UACAAGCAAAUCUCUGCUUACCCAAAAAAACAAAAACAAAUGUUGACUUAAUAAUACCAGGCAAUAGGCCAUCAAGGAUGUAAAUCAAGAACCUGCGAUAAUAUCAAUCGAUCAAAUCUCGAAAUCAAUGAAUUUCCCAUCAAGAAAAUUCUGGGAUUCCCCUUCUCGAUCCUCCAAAUUAGGUUAGCUGCCUAUAAAAACUCCCAGCAAGGUCAGGCUUAUUGCAUAACAAGGGCUCGCUAGUAAUCACCACAAGUUUGGCUUUAGUAGAGAAGAAAGAAAGCAGAUGGCAAAAUCGUCGACCUCAUUUGCUUUGCCUUUUCUGUUUUUGCUAAUUUCAGGGGCAUCGAUCAUGCUGAGGGUGGAGGCUUGCUCGAUUGCGGUGGUAGGCGGCGGCUGUCCCGACCACGAGAAAUGCCGGGAAACGUGCAUCCCGUGCUGGAGAGGGGUAGGUCAGAUCGCGUCCUAUUGCCGACCCGCGGGCGGAGGGAUACCCUACGAUCAAUGCAUCUGUGACUUCAAGAAUGGUGCACCUUGCCCUCCGUCGGGUCUUCCCAAAUGUCCACCUUCGGGUCUUUAUCAGAUAUCCCAUUGAAUCGAUGCGUGUAAAGUAGUCUCGUAGCUAAUCUCAAUAGACUGAAUAAUUGGGGCUGGAAGUCGAGUUAUGUGGCCAAUGUUGUUGGACGAAUCAAUGGAGCCUCUUUGCUACUUUCUCAA